rnacentral:rRNA from 1 species
UACGUAGGGUGCAAGCGUUAAUCGGAAUUACUGGGCGUAAAGAGCUCGUAGGCGGUUUGUCGCGUCUGCCGUGAAAGUCCGGGGCUUAACCCCGGAUCUGCGGUGGGUACGGGCAGACUAGAGUGCAGUAGGGGAGACUGGAAUUCCUGGUGUAGCGGUGAAAUGCGCAGAUAUCAGGAGGAACACCGGUGGCGAAGGCGGUUCUCUGGGCAUUACCUGACGCUGAGGAGCGAAAGUGUGGGGAGCGAACAGG